rnacentral:rRNA from 1 species
GGCCGCGGGAAUUCGAUUCAGGCCUAACACAUGCAAGUCGAACGGAUCCUUCGGGAUUAGUGGCGGACGGGUGAGUAACACGUGGGAACGUGCCCUUUGGUUCGGAACAACUCAGGGAAACUUGAGCUAAUACCGGAUGUGCCCUUCGGGGGAAAGAUUUAUCGCCAUUGGAGCGGCCCGCGUCUGAUUAGCUAGUUGGUGAGGUAAAGGCUCACCAAGGCGACGAUCCAGUAGCUGGUCUGAGAGGAUGAUCAGCCACAUUGGGACUGAGACACGGCCCAAACUCCUACGGGAGGCAGCAGUGGGGAAUCUUGCGCAAUGGGCGAAAGCCUGACGCAGCCAUGCCGCGUGAAUGAUGAAGGUCUUAGGAUUGUAAAAUUUUUCACCGGGGACGAUAAUGACGGUACCCGGAGAAGAAGCCCC